rnacentral:rRNA from 1 species
UACGAAGGGGCUAGCGUUGCUCGGAAUCACUGGGCGUAAAGGGUGCGUAGGCGGGUCUUUAAGUCAGGGGUGAAAUCCUGGAGCUCAACUCCAGAACUGCCUUUGAUACUGAAGAUCUUGAGUGCGGGAGAGGUGAGUGGAACUGCGAGUGUAGAGGUGAAAUUCGUAGAUAUUCGCAAGAACACCAGUGGCGAAGGCGGCUCACUGGCCCGAUACUGACGCUGAGGCACGAAAGCGUGGGGAGCAAACAGGG